CCUCACAACCUCGAUCGACGAGGGUUCGCCGCCCUCGCCAUGGCACGCCGUCCGGGCUUCCUUCCUCGACUUCUUCCGCCUGCCGGACGCCGCCAAACCCGUGCGCGCGGACCUCGUGUCGCUGAGGCAUGAGCCCAGCGAGGUCGUCAACCGGUACCACCUCCGCAUUCAGAGGACCCUGCCGACAUCCCCGACGACGCGUUCCUGAAGGCUGCCUUCAUCGACGGCCGCGGCGCCGAGUUCUAGGACUGGUGGUGCCGCGGCGCCGAGCUUCCGCCGGCGCUUCGUCCUCCAUUUUCGGAGCAUUCGCGAGUGAGCCCACGCCGCGUUUCGGGUCGUCUCCGCCAGGUCUGGCCGCGCCCUAGUCAUUGCUCCCGAGUUCCUCUUCUCCAUCUUGGGUCGUCUUCGCUAGGUUUGGCCGCUGGAACUGGAGCAGCCGUCCCGCGAGCUUAGAGGACCCAGUGCCUCCGUCCUAACACCGGCGAGCUGAUUCACCGGCUCCUCAUCACCGGCUCCUCAGCCCGCAUAAGCAAGCGUCCACCAGCAUCAGCCUCCCCUCACCGAGCUGCAUCUGCCUGGCUGCUCCUCGUUGCCAUCCCGUCGACGGACCACCGCUUCCCACGGAGCAGAACCAGAACAGACCGCCGCCGCCCCCUUCUCCGGCCAAAUCUGGCCACCAUGAAUGCUUAGCUUCAAGCGAUGAUUCACGCAUGUAUUUGCAUCAAAGACAAUAAUAGUAACCACAGUCAUCAUGAUACAAAAUUUCGGAAACUGAUGAAUACAAUCAAUUCGAGCUCUGUACCUAAUCCCCAUCGACCAGUUGAUGGCUAUAGCAUAACUCUGCUCCAUGAAAUCAGAAAGAAGUAUUAUCACUACAAGCUCUGGAGUUAAAUUAACUUCACGUGUUGACAGUCCACCGCCACGCACAGGAUGCUGGCGUUUCUGCUGCUGUCCGCAGCCGGCCUUUUCUACUCAAGAUGUUCUUUGAUCGGAUUGGAUCUGACAAAGAGAAGAUUGCAACUGUCAUAUGGAAAUUGGGACCAUUAUUAUUGAUCAACAUAAAACAGCACAUCAUCCGUCACAGGAUGGUAAAAAGGAAUAGCUCGAAUCAUUAUAUUGUUCAUUCAUGGUAUAUAAUUAAUCAUGUGCUCAAAAUUUUAAGUGUCACUGGAAAAGGUAUGAACACUUCAUUGCAAUGAUUGUGUUACUUGCCUACAAGUUAAAAAUAAGAACACAUCUGAUUGAUCAUAGAAAUUUGACAUAAUAGUGGAUGUUUUUAGCAAAGAUCAGUGUCUUGCUUCUCUUGGGCUGGGCCUAAUUAUUAUUUCCCAACAGAAUACAAUGACAGACACAUUACCACAUGUUUGACAUAGGCUUUACACAUGCAAUGAGGCAAUUGUUGAUUAUGUUUUAGUGCCACAAAUAUUCAAGUUCAGACUGAACAUUUUUUAAGUGAUGUAUAUUAAAACAUGAAUUGGAUGCAUCCUAGCAAAAAGAAUGUAGAGAGUUUGGAUGAUUGAGCUUUGACACGUAACUAAACAAAGCAUUAUUUGGAUAUGUACGGAGUUAUUCGUUUUCUUUUUUUUUGGAAGACCAACGGAGUUAUUGUUUUAGGAUAAUAGUUUCAGCUUUAGUAAUUGUAAUAAAUAUUCUGAUUUGGAUACUAUCAAGUCCAACAAGUAUUUUUGGAUAAUAUUAAAAGUAUAAUAAUAUUUGGAUUGAACAGCUUACCAAAUAAGUAUGUGCCAGGUUCAUGCUUCGAAUAUUCUAGACUAUUUGAAUUCAUGCAUUUGAAUUCAUGCUCUGAAUAACUAGGAUGUUUGGCUUGCAGACACAAGCAGCAGUGCCCGGGUAGCUAUCGUAGAGUUCAAAAUUCAUAACCUUAACGUUCAAAAGGUAAAAGAAUUCAGACCUACCAGUUCAAAUUAUCGCAGCAUAUUAUAUUAUACAAUAGAUCUAUUUUUUUCACAAAUGCUUAAACAUGACUAUUCAAUGCAGAGUCUGCAAAUCUUAAAUUUUAAAUUCUAACAGAACUACUAAAUUCUAAUUGUUUCUGAUAAUGACUGCAAGUCCCUAUAACCACUGUAGCAACAAAGGAUGGCAAUCCAGCUGACAAUUUAUUUUUAAUGUUUUUUUUUGAAUUUUGAUUUUCUUUUCCCUUUGAUUUCAUAAAUAUAGCAACAAAGUCCCUCUAUUGUUUCUUCUUUUAUUUACUUCUAAAAAAAGUUCUCCAUUCAAUUGUAUUGUGUACAAUUGUAUUAUGAUUAUACCUUCUGCUCUUAACUUUCUCUUCACUCACUACUUCCAAACAAAAUCUCAGUUACAAGGUCUACCACAGGUAAGCACCAAACUUACUCUAGUUCCUAUUUCAUAAAUAUCAGCUGAAUUAAUUACUUACAUCUGCAAAUCAGAAAUUUCCUGUAAGGUGAUAUUAUGCACCACUUGCUCUGUGAAAGCAAGAAGAGGCUCCAAAAGAUUUAUGGCUCGAUUUGUCAAUUACCAAUAACAUGUUUUAAGUGUAGUGACUCUGCAACUAUAUGCUAAUAAGCUAAUGACAAAUAAAAUGUGUAGAUUGAACUGCUUUAUAACAAUGUGUUUUUGCUGGUAGAUUUGUAGGGACAAAAACCAAAUAGAUGGUAGUUUCCAUACUAUUGUACGCAUAUAUCUACCUUCAUAGUUAAUCUUC